UACGUAGGGUGCAAGCGUUGUCCGGAAUUAUUGGGCGUAAAGAGCUCGUAGGCGGUUUGUCGCGUCUGCUGUGAAAACCCGAGGCUCAACCUCGGGCCUGCAGUGGGUACGGGCAGACUAGAGUGAUGUAGGGGAGACUGGAAUUCCUGGUGUAGCGGUGGAAUGCGCAGAUAUCAGGAAGAACACCGAUGGCGAAGGCAGAUCUCUGGGCCGUAACUGACGCUGAGGAGCGAAAGCAUGGGGAGCGAACAGG
rnacentral:rRNA from 1 species